CCUUUGGAACAUCCAAACUGAUGAGGCCACUAAGGGCUUCUGCCUCAGUCAUUCCGGAACUCUUGGAUUCUAGAAUAAAACAAGACUGAGAACAGCUGUCAGAAACUCUCCCACCUCAUUAAGGAACCAGACUCAAGUGGAGGGUCAAAGGUCAAAUAUAUCUGCUGGAGACAAGCAAGAAAUUACAUUGUAAUAAUGGUUGUUUUUACAUAUCGGUGAAAAAACAUAGUGUCAGCACGUGAUGUUUCUGCUUUCAUGGCGUGGGGGUCAAAAUAANNNNNNNNNNUGUGUGUGUGUGUGUGUGUGUGUGUGUGUGUGUGUGUGUGUGUGUGUGUGUGUGUGUGUGUGUGUGUGUGUGUGUGUGUGUGUGGAAGCUGGUGCUGGUGAUCCAGGACUUCAGUGCGGUGCGUGAGGAUGAGAUCACGGUACUUCGCGGGGAACGGGUCCAGAUUCUGGCAUCCAACCAACAUGGCCAGUGUCUGGUCUACCGACCGGCCAACACGGAGUCUCCGCCUGCAGAGGGCUGGGUGCCGCGCAGCGUCCUGUUCAACCACUAACUACCAGUUAGAACCAGUCAGAACCCGUUUAGAACCAGAUAUAAACAGUUACAUAACCAGUUACGGCCCAGUUACACUGAUGCCAGUAAGACCCAGUACCAAUCACACACAUCUGUCAACCUCUUAGUUACUGGUCCCAAAUAGUUACACAUAGUUUAAACUAGUUACAUCAGUUACAUACAGUCAGCUGCCCCAGUUAAACCAAUCACACACACGUAGCAAACAUCCUCAACAACCGGUAGCAACCAUGAACACUAGUAACCAACUACUGGAGUUCCUCACACUGGUGAAAAGAGGCCAGAGAGCUGCAGGUCCAGACAGAGGGAUUUGAAGUGAAUGGACACACAGUAUGCCUAUGGAACAUCCCAACUGAUAAGGUCCAACUGAUGAGGCCAGUAAGGGCCGCUGCCAACUGAUGAGGUCACUAAGGGCUGCUGCCUUUGGAACAUCCACACUGAAGAUGUCACUAAGGGCUGCUGCCUUUGGAACAUCCCAACUGAUGAGGUCACUAAGGGCUGCUGCCUUUGGAACAUCCACACUGAUGAUGUCACUAAGGGCUGCUGCCUUUGGAACAUCCCAACUGAUGAGGUCACUAAGGGCUGUUGCCUUUGGAACAUCCAAACUGAUGAGGCCACUAAGGGCUUCUGCCUCAGUCAUUCCGGAACUCUUGGAUUCUAGAAUAAAACAAGACUGAGAACAGCUGUCAGAAACUCUCCCACCUCAUUAAGGAACCAGACUCAAGUGGAGGGUCAAAGGUCAAAUAUAUCUGCUGGAGACAAGCAAGAAAUUACAUUGUAAUAAUGGUUGUUUUUACAUAUCGGUGAAAAAACAUAGUGUCAGCACGUGAUGUUUCUGCUUUCAUGGCGUGGGGGUCAAAAUAA
rnacentral:lncRNA from 13 species